GGCAUGAUGGCCGAGCGGUCUAAGGCGACGCACUCAAGCAUUGCGUUGGGAUUUAUCCCGCGUGCGUUCAAAUCGCACUCAUGUCA
rnacentral:tRNA from 1 species